rnacentral:tRNA from 1 species
GCGGCUGUGGCGGAAUUGGUAGACGCGCAGGCUUCAGGUGCCUGUGUCCCUUGGGACGUGGAGGUUCGAGUCCUCUCAGCCGCA